rnacentral:rRNA from 1 species
GAUGAACGCUGGCGGCGUGCCUAAUACAUGCAAGUCGAGCGAACAGACGAGGAGCUUGCUCCUCUGACGUUAGCGGCGGACGUGUGAGUAACACGUGGAUAACCUACCUAUAAGACUUGUAUAUCUUCGGGAAACCGGAGCUAAUACCGGAUAAUAUAUUGAACCUCAUUGUUCAAUAGUUAAAUACUGUUUUUCUGCCACUUAUAGAUUGAUCCGCGCCGCAUUAGCUAGUUGGUAAGGUAACGGCUUACCAAGGCAACGAUUCGUAGCCGACCUGAGAGGGUGAUCGGCCACACUGGAACUGAGACACGGUACAGACGACUAAGGGAGGCAGCAGUAGGGAAUAUUACGCAAUGGGCGAAAGCUUGACGGAGCAAAGCCGCGUGAGUGAUGAAGGUAUUCGGAUCGUAAAACUCUGUUAUUAGGGAAGAACAAAUGUGUAAGUAAAUAUGCACGUAUUGACGGUAACUAAUAAGAAAGCAACGGCUAACUACGUG